UGGGGAAUAUUGCACAAUGGGCGCAAGCCUGAUGCAGCCAUGCCGCGUGUGUGAAGAAGGCCUUCGGGUUGUAAAGCACUUUCAGCGGGGAGGAAGGCGUUAAGGUUAAUAACCUUGGCGAUUGUCGUUACCCGCAGAAGAAGCACCGGCUAACUCCGUGCCAGCAGCCGCGGUAAUACGGAGGGUGCAAGCGUUAAUCGGAAUUACUGGGCGUAAAGCGCACGCAGGCGGUCUGUCAAGUCGGAUGUGAAAUCCCCGGGCUCAACCUGGGAACUGCAUUCGAAACUGGCAGGCUAGAGUCUUGUAGAGGGGGGUAGAAUUCCAGGUGUAGCGGUGAAAUGCGUAGAGAUCUGGAGGAAUACCGGUGGCGAAGGCGGCCCCCUGGACAAAGACUGACGCUCAGGUGCGAAAGCGUGGGGAGCAAACAGG
rnacentral:rRNA from 1 species